rnacentral:rRNA from 1 species
GGGGAGCAAACAGGAUUAGAUACCCUGGUAGUCCACGCUGUAAACGAUGAGUACUAGGUGUCGGGGGUUACCCCCUUCGGUGCCGCAGCUAACGCAUUAAGUACUCCGCCUGGGAAGUACGCUCGCACGAGUGAAACUCAAAGGAAUUGACGGGGACCCGCACAAGUAGCGGAGCAUGUGGUUUAAUUCGAAGCAACGCGAAGAACCUUACCUAAGCUUGACAUCCCAAUGACAUCUCCUUAAUCGGAGAGUUCC